AGCCAGUGAUGGUUCAAGAGUAGUGGACAGAAGUGAUUUCUGACAACUUUUUCAUAAAACUGAGGCU